UACGGAGGGGGCUAGCGUUGUUCGGAAUUACUGGGCGUAAAGCGCACGUAGGCGGCUUUGUAAGUUAGAGGUGAAAGCCCGGAGCUCAACUCCGGAAUAGCCUUUAAGACUGCAUCGCUAGAACGUUGGAGAGGUAAGUGGAAUUCCGAGUGUAGAGGUGAAAUUCGUAGAUAUUCGGAAGAACACCAGUGGCGAAGGCGACUUACUGGACAACUGUUGACGCUGAGGUGCGAAAAGCGUGGGGAGCAAACAGG
rnacentral:rRNA from 1 species